UACAAAAAGGCUAAUUAAUGCUUAGUUGUUAUAAUAAUGCUGCAAUAUACAAAGUUGGCACUCAUUAACCUGAAGAGAAUCAUUGCAAAAGUGAAAGAAAAAAGGCGUUUCUCAAAUGAAAAUAUAAAACAGGAAAAAGUAAAAAAGGAUAGAAUAGAGAAACACGGGAAGGAUACAUAGACAAGCCACACACGCAUGACAUUUGAGUGCGACUGCACAAGAACAACAAAGACGACGAACACGCUUGUUUCUUGCUUGUCUCUUUUGACCAUAAUACCCUCACUCUUAUUUCGAAAUGACUCCUCACCCGUACGGCCUACACUCCUACUUAAAAUUACAAUCAGG
rnacentral:lncRNA from 1 species